GGGGGGUUUUUCAGCGCCUUGGCUCGCAUGGGAACCGAGCGAUUACUUCAAGAGGCCCGGGUUAAGUGCAGGCAGGGGGAGAAUUCAAUCCACAUUCAAAUUGCUUCAUUAAAGAGACGCAGCUUUUGUUGCAAAGGAUUUAAAUGGCCACUAGAAAGUUCUUAUUUAUUGUUUUGAGGCGGUUUAUAUAGGGUGCCCCGCGCUCGCCCGGCGCAUGGAGCCGCAGCCUCCCUCUCCCGCUCUCUCCAUCAAGGUGAUGCCGCCGGAGCCGCUGCCCAAGGGGAGCGCCCGCUGCCUGGACCCGCACUCCCGCGCCAUGUCGCAGCCCGACGGGGAGCCUCUGCCUGGAGCCCUGGAGAAGGAGGACGCCCGCUCGGCGCCCAGCACCCCUUCCACGCCGUCCGUCUGCUCCCCGCCAUCCUCUUCCUCCUCCACGCCGUCCGCCGGCAAAAACGUCUGCUCCAGCUGCGGGCUGGAGAUCCUCGACCGGUACCUGCUGAAGGUGAACAACCUCAUCUGGCACGUCCGGUGCCUGGAGUGCUCCGUGUGCCGCACCUCGCUGCGCCAGCAGCACAGCUGCUACAUCAAGAACAAGGAGAUUUUCUGCAAGAUGGACUACUUCAGCCGGUUCGGUACCAAGUGUGCCCGCUGUGGCAGGCAGAUCUACGCCAGCGACUGGGUGCGGCGGGCGCGGGGCAACGCCUACCACCUGGCCUGCUUCGCCUGCUUCUCCUGCAAGAGGCAGCUCUCCACCGGCGAGGAGUUCGGCCUGGUGGAGGAGAAGGUGCUGUGCCGGAUCCACUACGACACCAUGAUCGAGAACCUCAAGCGAGCGGCAGAGAACGGCAAUGGGAUCACGCUGGAGGGGGCUGUGCCCUCGGAGCAGGACAGCCAGCCCAAGCCGGCCAAGAGAGCCCGCACCUCCUUCACCGCCGAGCAGCUGCAGGUCAUGCAGGCACAGUUUGCUCAGGACAACAACCCCGACGCACAAACGCUGCAGAAGCUGGCGGACAUGACGGGGCUGAGCCGCAGAGUCAUUCAGGUUUGGUUUCAAAACUGCAGAGCCCGCCAUAAAAAACACACCCCGCAGCACACGGUGCCGCCCUCGGGAGCGCCCCCGUCCCGCAUCCCCUCCUCGCUGGCCGACGACAUCCACUACUCGCCCUUCAGCAGCCCCGAGCGGGCCCGGAUGGUGACGCUGCACGGAUACAUCGAAAGUCAGGUACAGUGUGGACAAGUGCACUGUAGACUUCCCUACACUGCUCCACCAGUGCACCUCAAAGCAGACAUGGAAGGACCACUAUCUAAUAGGGGUGAGAAGGUCAUCCUCUUUCAGUACUGACUGCGGGGACUCUUCCUCACGUGCCCGUGGCCCUGCCAGCACCGCUGCCCCUCAGCCGCUGACAGCGCCCGGCCCUCGGCCGCCGGUCCCGCGGGAGAAGCUCAGCCCCAGCGCUCGCAGUUCCUUCCACUGAGCAGCACCUCGCGCCCGCUCCGAUUUCUCCAGCGACACUCUGUGUGUGUGUGUGUUGAGUGCACAGUUACAUUUUACACUUGUUUCUUGUGGACUUGUAGAAUGACCGUGAGUCUCUUCCAAGGCAGUGCCAGCCACAGUCAAAACUGGUGACUCUACUGUGCUCGCAAGUCGUGCUCCCAAACCCACGGGAAUAUGAACGACCCAGAGCACGCUGAGCUCAGGGGGGGUCGAUGAUCACCUCUGAACACAAAGGAAGGAGGAAUUUUCGUGGUUUGGCCUGAUUCUCUCUUUGCACCAGUGAAGCAGUUCCUGGACAUCCCUCCUUCUUUCCACUCGCAUGUGUGAAAUCUGAAAUUGGCUUUAUGGCUCAGCAGCUCGAUAUAUAGACAGACCUCCCUGAGCCAAACUCGCAGGUAGCUGAGACUCCACUGAGUGGAAAACAUGAUGCCAGCUGGAAAUAGGCAGUUUUUCUUCCUCCUCAAAGUGCUUUAGAAUCACAUGUCCUUUGAUCACUCAAAGAUUUUUACUCUCAUUCUUUAUUAACAAGCUACUUAAUUUCCUUGGAGUCAUAUUGGAUCACAAAUGGGUGAUUUCAGAAUGCACCUACAGAAAACUCUCAGACAAUCCAUACUCUGGGACUGGGAAAUGCUUGAUGGAAGGUGGUCAUAAAGGUGUAGAAAUGUUCUGCCCUGCUGUGGACUCAAGUUCAGUCAGUGGAAAGAGUUGGGUAGAAACUGGAGACCACUUAAAAAGGUGAAAGCCACAGUAAGGCCAGCAGGAACCGUCGCUAGCCAAGUGGACAGCAAGGGGAUGGCAUCUUCCUUUGUCUGGUAGCAUGGUUCUGAUCCCCUCUGCCCUCCUGGUCUCUCUUGCUGGGGUAGGGCUGCUGGUCCUGCCAGGCCCUGGGAUGAGGGUGCAUCCCAGGAGAAUGGCUGGGCUCAUGGCAACAGCACAGGAAGUGCUCAGCAGUCUGGCCCCAAGUCAGGAAAAGGACUCCAAAACGAUCCCAUCCUUCACUGAUGGUAAUAACGAAAGCUAAACAUGAGACCUCUGCCAGCCCUUCUCAGUUUGCACCGAGCCAAGAGCAGGUCUGUAACCAAACCUCUCUCCACGCAAGCACAUGGGCCUGUCCUGCUGUGAAGUGUCUGUGAGGCUGCUCUUCCAAGAAUGUGAAAGCCUACCCUGAGCCACAGCCAGUGAGGGAUGUGACUGAGCCGUGCCCGAGGAGCAGGAGAUGGGAAUCCAUCUGCUCCAUAACUUGUUUUUAAUUGGAACUGUAGACACACGUGUUUUCCUCUCUGGGAGAUCCUGCAUCAAUCCACGGCAUGGGCCAGGUGGGCAACCAUCCUGCUGCUCUGGCCAGCCCAUGCUGCACAUGUGGGGAGCCUUCUCCUGCCCGCGUCCCCGAGCUCCGUGUGACACCAGCAGCCGGACACGUGGCUCCACCGAACCACCAGGAACGCUCCAGCAGUGGCGUGGGGAGAUGGGCACGUCUGCUGAGGUGGCCACUGAGAUCUCUUGGCUUGAGAAGCAGCUGAGUACAACACACGUGGAUGUUGGUUGGAACAAGUCCACACACACACACACACACACCCCCUCCUGUGUGUGUCCGUGUACUGAGCGAUGGUACUACCUCGGACAGCUGGGCCAGUGUCUGUCAAACUGCAGCCAGCAGCUCUAGUCCCAGUUCAAAAUAACAUUUGAAAGGAGAGAGGGGAAUUAAGUCCACAAAAUGCUAUUGUCACCUCCAGCUGUGUGAGUGACCAUUCCCAGAGUGUGACCAGUGACGAGGCGCUGCCACACGCCUGACCUGAUGGAGCCACCUCUGCAGAGGCGUCCCUUGGGGAGGGGACAGUCACCAGUGGCACCAGGUGCAUCCUUUUUGUCCUUUUCAUAGCAAUGAGGGAAGGAUGAGUGCUCCCUUGGCUGGCUGUUGGUGAGUGUUUGUCAUCACAGGUUGAGGUGGUUGCUGUGCCAGCCUUGAGAUGCUCGUGGGGGCCGGGGGCGUCACCGGGGCCUGACUUUGUUCUCCAUUUGUGCUUGCACAUCCUAACGACCAUUUAGUUGUGGAAUUAGUGCCAUAAAGGAAUGGGUAGUUAUUCCAUUUGACUCAGAAGGAGAGAUUCAGGCUGUAACUUGCCCUGACAUCCCACAGUCUCUGAGAUUGCCACAACUGUCCUGUUGAGGGAGAAAAGGGGUUUGAUGUGUUUCUCCCUUCUGUAUUGGCAAUGCAGUGAAAGGGAAACUAUGAAAUAUGUAUCUGCUGAAUACCAACUCCGUCAGAAAAACCCCCCUUGGAGAUGUCCUGGCUAUCCAAGGGUUUGUAAGCAGUGCCACGGCAGGGCCCAGGGAAUGUCGGUGUUUCUCUCCAGGGAUGUGGGCUCACCACAGACUGUGCUCGGGGCACUUCCCCCCAUAAGUAGCCAGGAGCAGCUUUGCUAAUUCAGAAAUCAGGCUCUGUUUAUAUUAAGCCCAAAUUGUUUGCAAAAACUGGAAGCAAUUCAGCUUGUGCAGUUUUAGAGCUAAUUAUGUGUAUGGAAAAUACUCAACUGUACCAAGAAUGUAAGAAAUCUUCUAAUUUAUUCAAUACAUUGUUUCACAACAUAUUUCACACUGACUGUUGCCACUGAACCAAACCUUAUCUCAGGUCAUUUGCAUUCAUCUCCUGUCUGUGGAUUAAAAAAAAAAAUAAAAUUAAAGUCAUUCUCAUUUUCUUAGUUUAUUCAGUAAUUGCCAGAUGGGUUCUGGUGCAGCAAUGCAGACUCCACGCACUAAACUUUUCCAGUUGCUAUUUACAAACCCUUUUGCAGACAGAAUCCACUGAAGACAGCCAGUGAAAGGCUCUUCACUCCAGUUUAAUGAGGUGACUAACAGAGCUCGGCUCUGGAAGUGGGAUGGUUUCAGGUUUUAUCACCAGUGAUUUUUUUCUGGCUCAUGCUGGUUAACCCAAUGCCCGAGCUAAAGGUGCUUACAGAACUCACUCGUUGGGACAGGGAGUGGGAACCAAUCCUGCACUACUAUCAGUGAUUUAUCUGUAGGAUGCCAACUAAACACCAGUUUUAUUUCAUCUGCCAAUCAUUUUGUUGUAGCAUGUUGCAAUUCUGCAUGUCUUGGCUACAAUGGUUAAAAAAAAAAUUUUCUCUGAAUGAGUGGACAGUCAAGACUAAUAUUUAUUUUAAAAAAGUAAAACAAAAUUGUAAGCACUUUUUGUAAAACCAAUGUCUGUUUUGUUACAUACUUUUAAUGUUGUGCUUUGUAAAUGUCUUAUUUGUGUAAUAAAUAAAGUUAAUGCAAGUAGAA